rnacentral:rRNA from 1 species
AGGAUGAACGCUGGCGGCGUGCCUAAUACAUGCAAGUCGAACGAGGUGCUUUUGUAGCAAUACGAGAGUAUCCUAGUGGCGAACGGGUGAGUAACGCGUUGGUGACCUACCCCAAAGUGUGGAAUAACAGUCCGAAAGGAUUGCUAAUACCGCAUGUGGUUAUCGGGCUUAGAAACUGAUAACUAAAGGAGCAAUUCGCUUUGGGAGGGACCUGCGUCCCAUCAGCUAGUUGGUGAGGUAACGGCUCACCAAGGCUACGAC